rnacentral:tRNA from 1 species
CUUUUAAAGGAUAAUAGCUAAUCCAUUGGUCUU